UACGUAGGUGGCAAGCGUUGUCCGGAUUUACUGGGUGUAAAGGGCGUGCAGCCGGGCUGACAAGUCAGAUGUGAAAUCCCGCGGCUCAACCGCGGAACUGCAUUUGAAACUGUCAGUCUUGAGUACCGGAGAGGUCAUCGGAAUUCCUUGUGUAGCGGUGAAAUGCGUAGAUAUAAGGAAGAACACCAGUGGCGAAGGCGGAUGACUGGACGGCAACUGACGGUGAGGCGCGAAAGCGUGGGGAGCAAACAGGAUUAGAUACCCUAGUAGUCCGCCUAAUGUGACAGCCGCCGCGGUA
rnacentral:rRNA from 1 species